UCCAGAACAAUUUAGCAAGAUGGCACCAAAAAUUGUACUUUCGUUAGCCCUCUGCACAGUUAUCCUGUCAUCUCCUUUAAUGUAGGCAAAUGGUUAUCCAAGUGUGGCAGCAAAGGCCGGAACUAUUCGGAUCAACAAUAUAACCUGAAUCCCGAAGAAACCAUAAACGUUGAUUUUAAUGAAGUUGGACCUGGCACUUGCAACGAAAUGUUUAAUUACAAAUGUACAAUUGACAACCGUAAUGCCAAUUGUUUGGAUGCGGUUACCGCUACACCAAAUCUAUAAACGCAACUACUUUCUAAACGCAUAAAAGGUAUAAACAUUUAUUAACUUAAUUUUUUUACAUUAAAAAGAUGUAUAUUUCA
rnacentral:lncRNA from 1 species